AACGAACGCUGGCGGCAGGCUUAACACAUGCAAGUCGAGCGCCCCGCAAGGGGAGCGGCAGACGGGAGCGUAACGCGUGGGAAUCUACCCAUCUCUACGGAAUAACGCAUGGAAACGUGUGCUAAUACCGUAUACGUCCUUCGGGCGAAAGAUUUAUCGGAGAUGGAUGAGCCCGCGUUGGAUUAGCUAGUUGGUGGGGUAAAGGCCUACCAAGGCGACGAUCCAUAGCUGGUCUGAGAGGAUGAUCAGCCACACUGGGACUGAGACACGGCCCAGACUCCUACGGGAGGCAGCAGUGGGGAAUAUUGGACAAUGGGCGCAAGCCUGAUCCAGCCAUGCCGCGUGAGUGAUGAAGGCCCUAGGGUUGUAAAGCUCUUUCACCGGUGAAGAUAAUGACGGUAACCGGAGAAGAAGCCCCGGCUAACUUCGUGCCAGCCGCCGCGGUAAGAC
rnacentral:rRNA from 1 species